AUUGAACGCUGGCGGCAGGCUUAACACAUGCAAGUCGGGCGGGGUGAUGGUGCUUGCACUAUCACUUAGCGGCGGACGGGUGAGUAAUGCUUAGGAAUCUGCCUAUUAGUGGGGGACAACAUCUCGAAAGGGAUGCUAAUACCGCAUACGUCCUACGGGAGAAAGCAGGGGAUCACUUGUGACCUUGCGCUAAUAGAUGAACCUAAGUCGGAUUAGCUAGUUGGUGGGUAAAGGCCUACCAAGGCGACGAUCUGUAGCGGGUCUGAGAGGAUGCUCCGCCACGCUGGGACUGAGACACGGCCCGGAAUCCUACGGGAGGCAGAAGUGGGGAAUAUUGGACAAUGGGGGGAACCCUGAUCCAGCCAUGCCGCGUGUGUGAAGAAGGCCUUAUGGUUGUAAAGCACUUUAAGCGGGGAGGAGGCUCUUUUGGUUAAUACCCAAGAUGAGUGGACGUUACUCGCAGAAUAAGCACCGGCUAACUCUGUGCCAGCCGCCGCCGUAA
rnacentral:rRNA from 1 species